rnacentral:rRNA from 1 species
UACGAAGGGGGCUAGCGUUGUUCGGAAUCACUGGGCGUAAAGGGCGCGUAGGCGGCCUGAUAAGUCGGGGGUGAAAGCCUGUGGCUCAACCACAGAAUUGCCUUCGAUACUGUCUGGCUCGAGACCGGAAGAGGUAAGUGGAACUGCGAGUGUAGAGGUGAAAUUCGUAGAUAUUCGCAAGAACACCAGUGGCGAAGGCGGCUUACUGGUCCGGUUCUGACGCUGAGGCGCGAAAAGCGUGGGGGAGCAAACAGGG